rnacentral:tRNA from 1 species
GGCCUGAUAGCUCAGUUGGUAGAGCAAAGGACUGAAAAUCCUUGUGUCGCUGGUUCAAUUCCAGCUCAGGCCA